AGCGAACGCUGGCGGCAGGCCUAACACAUGCAAGUCGAACGAACCCUUCGGGGUUAGUGGCGGACGGGUGAGUAACACGUGGGAACGUGCCUUUAGGUUCGGAAUAACUCAGGGAAGCUUGUGCUAAUACCGAAUGUGCCCUUCGGGGGAAAGAUUUAUCGCCUUUAGAGCGGCCCGCGUCUGAUUAGCUAGUUGGCGAGGUAAAGGCUCACCAAGGCUACGAUCAGUAGCUGGUCUGAGAGGAUGACCAGCCACAUUGGGACUGAGACACGGCCCAAACUCCUACGGGAGGCAGCAGUGGGGAAUCGUGCGCAAUGGGCGAAAGCCUGACGCAGCCAUGCCGCGUGGAUGAUGAAGGUCUUAGGAUUGUAAAAUCCUUUCACCGGUGAAGAUAAUGACUGUAGCCGGAGAAGAAGCCCCGGCUAACUUCGUGCCAGCCGCCGCUGUAACAC
rnacentral:rRNA from 1 species